rnacentral:rRNA from 1 species
CAGCAGGCGCGGAACUUGCCCAAUGCGUGAAGGCGUGAGGCAGCAACGGGGGAUCCAUGAAAUGGGAAGACUGGGGGGUAGAUGACCCCAGCACAAGUCGAGGGAAAGGUCUGGUGCCAGCAGCCGCGGUAAUUCCAGCUCGGCAGGCGUCGUACGGCGCUGUUGCAGUUAAAACGUCCGGAGUCGAGACGUCCAGCCGGGAGGAAAGAGGAGCGCUUAAGGCGGGAGUGAGUACGAGAAAGCCCGGGACGGACAUGAAGGUGAAUGGGUAAGGGCAUGUGUAUUGGUGGGGGACGGGUGAAAUAGGAUGAUCCGACCAAGACAGACAAAGGCGUAGGCACUUGCCAAGACCAUAUCAGUCGAACCAGGACGAAGCCCGGGGGCGAGAAGGCGAUUAGACACCACCGUAUUCCCGGGCGUAAACGAUGCCACCGAGAGACUGGCCAGGUCGUCAGGAUCGAAGGGAAACCGAUCAGGGUACGGGCUCUGGGGGGAGUAUGGCCGCAAGGCUGGAACUUGAAGGCAUUGACGGAGGGGUACCACCAGACGUGGAGUCUGCGGCUCAAUUUGACUCAACGCGAACACCUUACCAGGCCCAGACGUACGGAGGAUCGACGGUUGAGAGGACCUUCGUGAUCGUACGAGUGGUGGUGCAUGGCCGUUCACAGCCCGUGGCUUGAGCCGUCUGCUUGACUGCGACAACGAGCGAGACCCUAACCUGGAUGGGACCGCCAAUGGUGAAUUGGAGGAAGGUGGGGCGAUAACAGGUCUGUGAUGCCCUUAGACGCCCUGGGCUGCACGCGUACUACACUGUGGGGAUGAAACCACGUCGAGUUGUGAAGCUUGAUGAGAUCAAACCCCCACGUGGUUGGGAUCGUGGACUGGAACGUCCUCGUGAACCUGGAAUGUCUAGUAGGCGUAGGUCAUCAAUCUACGCCGGAUACGUCCCUGCCCCUUGUACACACCGCCCGUCGCUCCUACCGACUGGGUCUUCUGGCGAGCUCCUGGGAGGGAUGAACCGAACAGGGACGAACCGCGAGGCUUGGAGGAAGGAGAAGUCGUAACAAGGUAUCCGUAGGUGAACCUGCGGAUGGAUCCAUC